GGGUUGUGAGGUUAAGCGACUAAGCGUACACGGUGGAUGCCCUGGCAGUCAGAGGCGAUGAAGGACGUGCUAAUCUGCGAUAAGCGUCGGUAAGGUGAUAUGAACCGUUAUAACCGGCGAUUUCCGAAUGGGGAAACCCAGUGUGUUUCGACACACUAUCAUUAACUGAAUCCAUAGGUUAAUGAGGCGAACCGGGGGAACUGAAACAUCUAAGUACCCCGAGGAAAAGAAAUCAACCGAGAUUCCCCCAGUAGCGGCGAGCGAACGGGGAGCAGCCCAGAGCCUGAAUCAGUGUGUGUGUUAGUGGAAGCGUCUGGAAAGGCGCGCGAUACAGGGUGACAGCCCCGUACACAAAAAUGCACAUACUGUGAGCUCGAUGAGUAGGGCGGGACACGUGGUAUCCUGUCUGAAUAUGGGGGGACCAUCCUCCAAGGCUAAAUACUCCUGACUGACCGAUAGUGAACCAGUACCGUGAGGGAAAGGCGAAAAGAACCCCGGCGAGGGGAGUGAAAAAGAACCUGAAACCGUGUACGUACAAGCAGUGGGAGCCUCUUAAUGGGGUGACUGCGUACCUUUUGUAUAAUGGGUCAGCGACUUAUAUUCUGUAGCAAGGUUAACCGAAUAGGGGAGCCGAAGGGAAACCGAGUCUUAACUGGGCGUUAAGUUGCAGGGUAUAGACCCGAAACCCGGUGAUCUAGCCAUGGGCAGGUUGAAGGUUGGGUAACACUAACUGGAGGACCGAACCGACUAAUGUUGAAAAAUUAGCGGAUGACUUGUGGCUGGGGGUGAAAGGCCAAUCAAACCGGGAGAUAGCUGGUUCUCCCCGAAAGCUAUUUAGGUAGCGCCUCGUGAAUUCAUCUCCGGGGGUAGAGCACUGUUUCGGCAAGGGGGUCAUCCCGACUUACCAACCCGAUGCAAACUGCGAAUACCGGAGAAUGUUAUCACGGGAGACACACGGCGGGUGCUAACGUCCGUCGUGAAGAGGGAAACAACCCAGACCGCCAGCUAAGGUCCCAAAGUCAUGGUUAAGUGGGAAACGAUGUGGGAAGGCCCAGACAGCCAGGAUGUUGGCUUAGAAGCAGCCAUCAUUUAAAGAAAGCGUAAUAGCUCACUGGUCGAGUCGGCCUGCGCGGAAGAUGUAACGGGGCUAAACCAUGCACCGAAGCUGCGGCAGCGACACUAUGUGUUGUUGGGUAGGGGAGCGUUCUGUAAGCCUGUGAAGGUGUACUGUGAGGUAUGCUGGAGGUAUCAGAAGUGCGAAUGCUGACAUAAGUAACGAUAAAGCGGGUGAAAAGCCCGCUCGCCGGAAGACCAAGGGUUCCUGUCCAACGUUAAUCGGGGCAGGGUGAGUCGACCCCUAAGGCGAGGCCGAAAGGCGUAGUCGAUGGGAAACAGGUUAAUAUUCCUGUACUUGGUGUUACUGCGAAGGGGGGACGGAGAAGGCUAUGUUGGCCGGGCGACGGUUGUCCCGGUUUAAGCGUGUAGGCUGGUUUUCCAGGCAAAUCCGGAAAAUCAAGGCUGAGGCGUGAUGACGAGGCACUACGGUGCUGAAGCAACAAAUGCCCUGCUUCCAGGAAAAGCCUCUAAGCAUCAGGUAACAUCAAAUCGUACCCCAAACCGACACAGGUGGUCAGGUAGAGAAUACCAAGGCGCUUGAGAGAACUCGGGUGAAGGAACUAGGCAAAAUGGUGCCGUAACUUCGGGAGAAGGCACGCUGAUAUGUAGGUGAAGUCCCUUGCGGAUGGAGCUGAAAUCAGUCGAAGAUACCAGCUGGCUGCAACUGUUUAUUAAAAACACAGCACUGUGCAAACACGAAAGUGGACGUAUACGGUGUGACGCCUGCCCGGUGCCGGAAGGUUAAUUGAUGGGGUUAGCGGUAACGCGAAGCUCUUGAUCGAAGCCCCGGUAAACGGCGGCCGUAACUAUAACGGUCCUAAGGUAGCGAAAUUCCUUGUCGGGUAAGUUCCGACCUGCACGAAUGGCGUAAUGAUGGCCAGGCUGUCUCCACCCGAGACUCAGUGAAAUUGAACUCGCUGUGAAGAUGCAGUGUACCCGCGGCAAGACGGAAAGACCCCGUGAACCUUUACUAUAGCUUGACACUGAACAUUGAGCCUUGAUGUGUAGGAUAGGUGGGAGGCUUUGAAGUGUGGACGCCAGUCUGCAUGGAGCCGGCCUUGAAAUACCACCCUUUAAUGUUUGAUGUUCUAACGUUGGCCCCUGAUCGGGGUUGCGGACAGUGUCUGGUGGGUAGUUUGACUGGGGCGGUCUCCUCCUAAAGAGUAACGGAGGAGCACGAAGGUUGGCUAAUCCUGGUCGGACAUCAGGAGGUUAGUGCAAUGGCAUAAGCCAGCUUGACUGCGAGCGUGACGGCGCGAGCAGGUGCGAAAGCAGGUCAUAGUGAUCCGGUGGUUCUGAAUGGAAGGGCCAUCGCUCAACGGAUAAAAGGUACUCCGGGGAUAACAGGCUGAUACCGCCCAAGAGUUCAUAUCGACGGCGGUGUUUGGCACCUCGAUGUCGGCUCAUCACAUCCUGGGGCUGAAGUAGGUCCCAAGGGUAUGGCUGUUCGCCAUUUAAAGUGGUACGCGAGCUGGGUUUAGAACGUCGUGAGACAGUUCGGUCCCUAUCUGCCGUGGGCGCUGGAGAACUGAGGGGGGCUGCUCCUAGUACGAGAGGACCGGAGUGGACGCAUCACUGGUGUUCGGGUUGUCAUGCCAAUGGCACUGCCCGGUAGCUAAAUGCGGAAGAGAUAAGUGCUGAAAGCAUCUAAGCACGAAACUUGCCCCGAGAUGAGUUCUCCCUGACUCUUUAAGGGUCCUGAAGGAACGUUGAAGACGACGACGUUGAUAGGCCGGGUGUGUAAGCGCAGCGAUGCGUUGAGCUAACCGGUACUAAUGAACCGUGAGGCUUAACCUUACAACGCCGAAGGUGUUU
rnacentral:rRNA from 1 species